UCAUGAUUUGUUAGAAAGGAUAUUAUACUUUAGUAAUCCACAAUGACCUGGUGAUGUAAAAGUCUAAUAAUUACAUUAGUCUUCCAUAUUCCUACAGAUACCUUGUAACUGGAGAUUCCUUCAAAAUGAUUGCUUACAGUUACUGUGCAGGGUUGGGUGACCAGGGCCAUCUGGGACUGCCUCCUGGAGGAAUUCAGGUGUGUGAAGGCUACCUGUGAUCUGCAUAACUUCCUGAGGAUAGACAUGAGGUCCAGGAGGGGAUCUGCAGCUCGCCACCGUGUGCCAGAGGAGAAGCCUGCUGUUCUGCAGGAUGUUUCAAAGAUGGGUCCAACAACGCAGCAAGAGAGGCAAUCCAUGUUCGGGUGAUCUGCACCUCCUACUUCUUAGACGAGGUUGCUGUUCCCUGGCAACACCAUAGACUACACUCUGCACAACCAAAGGCUCGUUUAAGAGCCAUUCACAUUGCAAUAAGAGUAUUCUUCAAUUUACUUAGCUAUGUCAACUGCAGUUAUUCAUUUCCCAGUUUCUCUCCCUUUGAUUUCUACUUCUCAGAUGAGGGUGCUGUUUAGGUAAGGGUGUGUGAUGUCCGUACAAAAACAAAAGAGGCUAUUUUAAGAAUUUUAACAAUUAGACACCUUAUAACCCACACCUACCCAGCCAUGUAUCAAUCUGAUUGACGGAUGGUGUUGUGCAGUAAGCAGGCUCGGGUGUAUAACUAUGGAUCCUUCCACCAUCAAAGAAUAGGCAAGAGGGCCAACCAUGGAGAAUAGGCAAGAGGGCCAACCAUGGAGAAUAGGCAAGAGGGCCAACCAUGGAGAAUAGGCAAGAGGGCCAACCAUGGAGAAUAGGCAAAAGGGCCAACCAUGGAGAAUAGGCAAGAGGGCCAACCAUGGAGAAUAGGCAAGAGGGCCAACCAUGGAGAAUAGGCAAGAGGGCCGAUCAUGGAGAAUAGUUAUAUCAGCUGUGUCGGUGAACCCCUCCCGCAUCUGAACUGGCUACAUAGAGGGCACAGCAUGAUCAGAGGUAUGUUUUGAUGUGAGAGAGGAUGCCAACCCCGAGUCCUGUCAUCGCCACCUAACCCGCUCUUAAGAUCACAUUCAGGUCGACUGGGAGCCAUAGGCUGGUUUGCAGACACCACUAGAGACACUUUUAUGUAAUUGUGAUGAACUGAGAGAAUAUUAGGGUAGCAAUGUGAUUCACUAAUCAUAUGCUGUCUUCCCUGUUCCUCUGUUCUCACCUCUUUCCCUUCCUGUCUUUUACAUCUCUCAUCACCUCUUUCUUCCUCUGUAUUUAUAAUGCACAACAGAUGUGCAUUGAAGUACAGAUUGAACUUGUAUUUAUAAAAUAAUAUUACAAGUAUAAUAUUUAUAAUGCAUGUAUUACAUAUU